GGCACGGUGGCUUAGUGGUUAGCACAGUCGCCUCGCACCUCCGGCUGUGGGGCGGGUUCGAAUCCUGUCUCCGCCC